AGCAGCCGCGGUAGUUCCAGCUCCAAUAGCGUAUAUUAAAGUUGCUGCAGUUAAAAAGCUCGUAGUUGAAUUUCGGGACCAUCAUGUCGGUCGUGCCUCGGUACGUACUGGCAUUGUUGGUUUCUCCCUUCUGACGAACCAUGAUGUCAUUAAUUUGGUGUCAUGGGGAAUCAGGACUGUUACUUUGAAAAAUUAGAGUGUUUAAAGCAGGCUCACGCUUGAAUACAUUAGCAUGGAAUAAUGAAAUAGGACGUUUGAUUCUAUUUUGUUGGUUUCUAGGAUCGACGUAAUGAUUAAUAGGGAUAGUUGGGGGCAUUAGUAUUCAAUUGUCAGAGGUGAAAUUCUUGGAUUUAUUGAAGACUAACUACUGCGAAAGCAUUUGCCAAGGAUGUUUUCAUUAAUCAAGAACGAAAGUUAGGGGAUCGAAGACGAUCAGAUACCGUCGUAGUC
rnacentral:rRNA from 1 species